UACGUAGGGGGCAAGCGUUGUCCGGAAUUAUUGGGCGUAAAGAGCGUGUAGGCGGCCAGAUAAGUCCGCUGUGAAAUCUCGAGGCUCAACUUCGAGCUGUCGGUGGAAACUGUCUGGCUAGAGUCCGGAAGAGGAGAAUGGAAUUCCUGGUGUAGCGGUGAAAUGCGCAGAUAUCAGGAAGAACACCCGUGGCGAAGGCGGCUCACUGGCCCGGUUCUGACGCUGAGGUGCGAAAGCGUGGGGAGCAAACAGG
rnacentral:rRNA from 1 species